ensembl:snRNA U2 U2 spliceosomal RNA
AUCCCAGUAGUUGCAAAAAGAAGGGAAAAAAAAUCAAGUGUAGUCUCUGCUCUUACCAGCAUAACAUCUGGUAUGUCCUCUAUCUGAGGACAAUAUAAUUUAAUAAAUAAUUUUGGAGUAGGAAGAUCCAAUAGAAAAUUGCUUAGAUAGCUUCAUCUGUUCUACAAAAUAACCUGUUAUUGCAUUUCUUCCAGGAAUUGUGUACUCCAC